UGCAUUGCAUGGAACCUGCGCUCAGCAGUUCAUGCCUGCUGGUAUGUUCAAAGAACAGUGUGAUAGAAAUUCACUAUCCGGCAUUGUUGGCUUUCUUGGCUGUGGUGCCUAUUAAAUCUGGUAUUUCUAUUGCUACAGUU
ensembl:snoRNA